GGAGUGGGUCGGGCAGCCGCCGGUUCGCACAACGCGAACGGGAGGAAAGUCCGGGCGCCGCAGGGCAGGGUGGUGGCUAACGCCCACCGGCCGCGAGGCCAGGGAAAGUGCCGCAGAAAACAAACCGCCGAUGGGUGGGGGAGGGGUUAGGGGCUAGAGGCUAGGGGCUAGAAGGGUGUAAACGACUCUUUCGCUAGCCCCUAGUCCCUAACUCCUAGCCCCUCCCCCACCACAGGUAAGGGUGAAAAGGUGCGGUAAGAGCGCACCAGCGACCGGGGUGACCCGGUCGGCUUGGUAAACCCCACCCGGCGCAAGGCCAAGCAGAGAGCAGAGCCGGCCCGGCUCGUGACGACUCUCGGGUAGGCCGCUCGAGGCGGCGAGCAAUCGUCGCCCUAGAGGAAUGGCUGCCACGGCUCGCGCAAGCAAGCCGCACAAGACCCGGCUUACAGACCCACUCCGAGG
rnacentral:RNase_P_RNA from 1 species